AGCUCCAAUAGCGUAUAUUAAAGUUGUUGCAGUUAAAAAGCUCGUAGUUGAACUUCUGCGCGUCGGACUCCUGGCUUAGGUCGGAAGUCGGGCGCGCAUCCGUCUGAGAGCCCGGUUCGUCCUUUACUGGUCGGCCGGGGGAUCAGACAUUUUACUGUGAAAAAUCAGAGUGUUCAAGGCAGGCCAUCGCCCUGAAUACACAAGCAUGGAAUAAUGGAAUAGGACUAUGAUCCAUUUUGUUGGUUCUUGGAUCUUAGUAAUGAUUAAUAGGGACAGUUGGGGCAUUAGUAUUUAAUUGUCAGAGGUGAAAUUCUUGGAUUUAUUAAAGACUAACUUAUGCGAAAGCAUUUGCCAAGGAUGUUUUCA
rnacentral:rRNA from 1 species